CUGGGAAGACAAAAGUAAUCAGCAUUACAAAGUAUCAAUGAAUGAACGCCUGAUCCAGCUGAUUGGCAGUUACAAAGAGGGCGAAGACUGGCUAAACCUAUGUCCUCUUGGAUGUGGGAAAUUUGGAGAUGUCACUCUUGUGUACGAUAAGAAAAGGAAAUGUGUCUGUGCUACAAAAAAGGUCUCCAAGGAAUACUAUAGACAGGAAGAGUUUG